CAGAGCAAAGCCACGGAGGGAGGAGGACUGGAGCCGGGGACGGGUCUGCGUUCUCCGGACCUUCUCUGGUCCUUCUGGUUCUUUGUCUUUAAAGGCUCCUGCAGCAGGAGGGGGGGCUGCAUAGCUGCAGAGCCUGGUUGGAGGCAUUUAACUCCAAUCCAGCAGAAUUAGUUGACAUAAAGCAGAAAAAGUUUGAUGCAUGGCUCUGAGUUCUGGUUCUGUCUAAAAACAACCCAAAAAAUAGAUAAAACUAAAUUAAAAUAAUAAUAAUAAAAAAACUUUAUAAAACAACAGAAAAAAGUUUGUCACAAAUUAUACCGAACCCUUCAGCCUAGUUUGCCGCACCGGGACAAGUCGGGUCGGGUCUGACCGGGCCAAGUCGGGUCGGACCGGGCGGGCUGCUGUGGAGGCGGGUCCCUCCUGCAGAACAAUGCCAUUAUUUGAGCUCCGUUGGUCAGGAAUGCCAGAUUUCACAGGCCGCUGCCCUCUUCCACCACUGCACCUCCACUGGGACCUUUUCCCACCCCAUCCUCUGCACCCCCCCACCUAUUGCCCACCUUUGGCCCGCCCUGAUGGAGCCCUGACUUCCUGCAGCCUGUGUGUCCUGUUGCACCUACAGCUCACAUGUGUUGGAGCUCAGGGUGGUCCUGUUUACCCUGAUGCUGCUGCAGGGGGGGCUGCGGAAGGCCCCACUUUUAGAUGAUGGUUCCCCUAAAAAAAGGUCGCUCCUCAAAGGCGGGUAAUGACAAAUUUGUGAAUGGAAAGAAGAAUUUGUGUUCAUUGUUAAAAUUUAACUAUACAACGAGAGCCCCUCUGGUGUUCCACCAAUCCAGGAGGUGAUGGGGGAAAUUUCCCACCAAUCAGAGCAAAGACUAGAGGUAAACUGGACCAAUGGGAACCUAGUAUUCAAAUAAGGAAUUUGUCUCGGCAAGAGCUGAAUGUCAACUAGUCAAAGAUGGAGUCUAAAGCUGGAAGGCCGUGGGGUGGCCAGUGGACCGAAACAGCGGCUCCCCGCAGCAGGAGCGGCGGCGGCGGACCGGAGCGGGAGGCGGGGAGCGCGAGCCGCGUUUAUCCGCUGGAAUAGCGGCGCGGCUCCGCUCAGGCUUUGCUGGGUGAGCCGGAGGCUAAGGACCGGCCCUGCCAGCGCCAGUUUCCAUCAACUCCAGCAUCAGACUCAUCCCAUCACUCCUCUGCUCAGAGCGUGCUGAUUACUCCACAAUCAAUCCAUGCAGUGAAAAUAGCCACAGCGCAUAGAAAGCUCCUCAUAGAGAUGUGAACAGGCCUCCAUUUAACCCAAUUCCUCAACUACCGCAAAGCUGAGUUGAUGUGAAAUCCAGCAGAACCAUCUCUGCUGCGCUCAGCUGUUCUGGUAGGAGGUAACGCGACGCCUCAACCCGCCGCAGCUGCAGGACGCUCAGUGCUUGAUACUCUUUCCCUGUUGCACUACUGUGGGAGAUGCAGCGAGCAGUGCAAUAAUGAAAGGGCAUCAAUCAGCGGGACCAUCCUCCUCCGGACUCCGAGCCGGGACUUCCAGCAGGCCGGCACACCUAGCCGACAUCACCUGGACUUACCUGUGAAUAAAACCUACCUUGAACAAA